rnacentral:rRNA from 1 species
CCUACGGGCGGCUGCAGUGGGGAAUAUUGGACAAUGGGGGCAACCCUGAUCCAGCCAUGCCGCGUGUGUGAAGAAGGCCCUCGGGUUGUAAAGCACUUUCAGUGAGGAAGAACGCCUGGUGGUUAAUACCCAUCAGGAAAGACAUCACUCACAGAAGAAGCACCGGCUAACUCCUUGCCAGCAGCCGCGGUAAUACGGAGGGUGCGAGCGUUAAUCGGAAUUACUGGGCGUAAAGCGCGCGUAGGUGGCUUGAUAAGCCGGUUGUGAAAGCCCCGGGCUCAACCUGGGAACGGCAUCCGGAACUGUCAAGCUAGAGUGCAGGAGAGGAAGGUAGAAUUCCCGGUGUAGCGGUGAAAUGCGUAGAGAUCGGGAGGAAUACCAGUGGCGAAGGCGGCCUUCUGGACUGACACUGACACUGAGGUGCGAAAGCGUGGGUAGCAAACAGGAUUAGAUACCCCGGUAGUC